rnacentral:piRNA from 1 species
UGGACAGUCACAAGGACGAGAGCAGGAGCU